rnacentral:rRNA from 1 species
GAUGAACGCUGGCGGCGUGCUUAACACAUGCAAGUCGAACGGGAAAUAUUUCAUUGAGACUUCGGUGGAUUUGAUUUAUUUCUAGUGGCGGACGGGUGAGUAACGCGUGGGUAACCUGCCUUAUACAGGGGGAUAACAGUCAGAAAUGGCUGCUAAUACCGCAUAAGCGCACAGAGCUGCAUGGCUCAGUGUGAAAAACUCCGGUGGUAUAAGAUGGACCCGCGUUGGAUUAGCUAGUUGGUGGGGUAACGGCCCACCAAGGCGACGAUCCAUAGCCGGCCUGAGAGGGUGAACGGCCACAGUGGGACUGAGACAUGGCCCAGACUCCUACGGGAGGCAGCAGUGGGGAAUAUUGCACAAUGGGGGAAACCCUGAUGCAGCGACGCCGCGUGAAGGAAGAAGUAUCUCGGUAUGUAAACUUCUAUCAGCAGGGAAGAUAGUGACGGUACCUGACGAAGAAGCCCCGGCUAACUACGUG